rnacentral:rRNA from 1 species
AACGAACGCUGGCGGCAUGCCUAACACAUGCAAGUCGAACGAGACCUUCGGAUCUGGUGGCGCUCGGGUGCGUAACGCGUGGGAACCUGCCCGUAGGUUCGGAAUAACUCCUCGACAGGGGUGCUAAUACCGGAUAAUGUCUUCGGACCAAAGAUUUAUCGCCUUUGUAUGGGCCCGCGUUGUAUUAGCUAGUUGGUAUGGUAAAAGCCUACCAAGGCUACGAUCCAUAGCUGGUCUGAGAGGAUGAUCAGCCACACUGGGACUGAGACACGGCCCAGACUCCUGCGGGAUGCAGCAGUGGGGAAUAUUGGACAAUGGGCGAAAGCCUGAUCCAGCAAUGCCGCGUGAGUGAUGAAGGCCUUAGGGUUGUAAAGCUCUUUUACCCGCGAUGAUAAUGACGGUACCGGGAGAAUAAGCACCGGCUAACUCCGUG